rnacentral:RNase_P_RNA from 1 species
CGAGCUCGCCAGACAGUCGCCGCCGGUUUUAACCGGGGGAGGAAAGUCCGGGCUCCACAGGGCAAGGUGCCAGGUAACGCCUGGGCGGCGCGAGCCGACGGAAAGUGCAACAGAAAGUAUACCGCCUAAGCGCCUUCGGGCGCCGGUAAGGGUGAAACGGUGCGGUAAGAGCGCACCGCGUGGCUGGCAACAGUCCACGGCGAUGGUAAACCCCACCUGGAGCAAGACCAAAUAGGAAUCCGUUGGCGUGGCCCGCGCUGGAUUCGGGUAGGUCGCUUGAGACCUGUGGUGACACAGGUCCUAGAUGAAUGACUGUCCCAGACAAAACCCGGCUUAUCGGCGAGCUCGUUUU